rnacentral:rRNA from 1 species
GACGAACGCUGGCGGCGUGCUUAACACAUGCAAGUCGAACGGAAAGGCCCUGCUUUUGUGGGGUGCUCGAGUGGCGAACGGGUGAGUAACACGUGAGUAACCUGCCCUUGACUUUGGGAUAACUUCAGGAAACUGGGGCUAAUACCGGAUAGGAGCUCCUGCUGCAUGGUGGGGGUUGGAAAGUUUCGGCGGUUGGGGAUGGACUCGCGGCUUAUCAGCUUGUUGGUGGGGUAGUGGCUUACCAAGGCUUUGACGGGUAGCCGGCCUGAGAGGGUGACCGGCCACAUUGGGACUGAGAUACGGCCCAGACUCCUACGGGAGGCAGCAGUGGAGAAUAUUGCACAAUGGGCGGAAGCCUGAUGUAGCAACGCCGCGUGCGGGAUGACGGCCUUCGGGUUGUAAACCGCUUUCGCCUGUGACGAAGCGUGAGUGACGGUAAUGGGUAAAGAAGCACCGGCUAACUACGUG